rnacentral:lncRNA from 1 species
AUCACCAGUACUAUGAUAUCCCUCCUCUCGAAGGGUCUCUCAAGCAGAAAACAGGAACCGAUUCCAUCACAGGACCAAACUUACAGUGUGGUAUCCGUUGCAUCAUUCAGUAAUACACUUUGUAACAUGACAUGAUGACUCUAGCCAAGUUGAAAGGGCCUUAAAAUUAACUUAACAUGAAAUUAACUAGUUUUGCUACCCAGUGGCUCACAAAUUUUUUGAGAACCUUUGGACACGCACCAUGGUCCUCUACAAAACAUGAACCUAGCAGGGAAAACGUAUGCAACCAAGGUCAACACUACCUAAUAUCAACG